rnacentral:rRNA from 1 species
GUUGGGUAGGGGAGCGUUCUGUAAGCCUGUGAAGGUGGCCUGUGAGGGUUGCUGGAGGUAUCAGAAGUGCGAAUGCUGACAUAAGUAACGAUAAAGCGGGUGAAAAGCCCGCUCGCCGGAAGACCAAGGGUUCCUGUCCAACGUUAAUCGGGGCAGGGUGAGUCGACCCCUAAGGCGAGGCCGAAAGGCGUAGUCGAUGGGAAACGGGUUAAUAUUCCCGUACUUGGUGUUACUGCGAAGGGGGGACGGAGAAGGCUAUGUUGGCCGGGCGACGGUUGUCCCGGUUUAAGCGUGUAGGCUGGUUUUCCAGGCAAAUCCGGAAAAUCAAGGCUGAGGCGUGACGACGAGGCACUACGGUGCUGAAGCAACAAAUGCCCUGCUUCCAGGAAAAGCCUCUAAGCAUCAGGUAACAUCAAAUCGUACCCCAAACCGACACAGGUGGUCAGGUAGAGAAUACCAAGGCGCUUGAGAGAACUCGGGUGAAGGAACUAGGCAAAAUGGUGCCGUAACUUCGGGAGAAGGCACGCUGACACGUAGGUGAAGUGAUUUACUCAUGGAGCUGAAGUCAGUCGAAGAUACCAGCUGGCUGCAACUGUUUAUUAAAAACACAGCACUGUGCAAACACGAAAGUGGACGUAUACGGUGUGACGCCUGCCCGGUGCCGGAAGGUUAAUUGAUGGGGUCAGCGCAAGCGAAGCUCCUGAUCGAAGCCCCGGUAAACGGCGGCCGUAACUAUAACGGUCCUAAGGUAGCGAAAUUCCUUGUCGGGUAAGUUCCGACCUGCACGAAUGGCGUAAUGAUGGCCAGGCUGUCUCCACCCGAGACUCAGUGAAAUUGAACUCGCUGUGAAGAUGCAGUGUACCCGCGGCAAGACGGAAAGACCCCGUGAACCUUUACUAUAGCUUGACACUGAACAUUGAGCCUUGAUGUGUAGGAUAGGUGGGAGGCUUUGAAGUGUGGACGCCAGUCUGCAUGGAGCCGACCUUGAAAUACCACCCUUUAAUGUUUGAUGUUCUAACGUGGACCCGUGAUCCGGGUUGCGGACAGUGUCUGGUGGGUAGUUUGACUGGGGCGGUCUCCUCCUAAAGAGUAACGGAGGAGCACGAAGGUUGGCUAAUCCUGGUCGGACAUCAGGAGGUUAGUGCAAUGGCAUAAGC